CUACGGGCUGCACCAGUGGGGAAUAUUGCACAAUGGGCGCAAGUCUGAUGCAGCCAUGCCGCGUGUAUGAAGAAGGCCUUCGGGUUGUAAAGUACUUUCAGCGGGGAGGAAGGGAGUAAAGUUAAUACCUUUGCUCAUUGACGUUACCCGCAGAAGAAGCACCGGCUAACUCCGUGCCAGCAGCCGCGGUAAUACGGAGGGUGCAAGCGUUAAUCGGAAUUACUGGGCGUAAAGCGCACGCAGGCGGUUUGUUAAGUCAGAUGUGAAAUCCCCGGGCUCAACCUGGGAACUGCAUCUGAUACUGGCAAGCUUGAGUCUCGUAGAGGGGGUAGAAUUCCAGGUGUAGCGGUGAAAUGCGUAGAGAUCUGGAGGAAUACCGGUGGCGAAGGCGGUCCCCUGGACGAAGACUGACGCUCAGGUGCGAAAGCGUGGGGAGCAAACAGGAUUAGAUACCCGCGUAGUC
rnacentral:rRNA from 1 species